CCCUCCCCUCAGUCCCGGGUGCCCGGCUCGCGCUGCUGGGUGCGAGGAGAGUACCCCGCGCCCGCCCGCCCCUGCGCCCCCGCCCCGGCGUGCGAGGCGACGCGCCCUCCCGUUGCCCUGCCCGGUGCAUGGAGGGGCCCGUUCGGAUUCCGGCCGCCGCCGCCGUAGUCGCCGCCAGCGCGCGGGGGAUGACCUGGGGGUGGCUCUCCGAGCCGGCUGCAGCGCAGGAGGUCUGGGGGCUUAGUCUGCCCCGCUGAGAGUGAGCCAAGGCCUGAAGUGUGUCCUGCCUGCUUCUGCAAUCUGGCGCUAUGCAUCCGGAUCCUGGGCCCUUACAGACACUGCUGUAUGUUACGCUUCUGUUUCUGUGCCCUUCUGUGAAUUCAGACUUGGCACCUUAUUUUGUUUCGGAGCCACUAUCUGCUGUCCAGAAACUUGGUGGACCUGUAGUACUACAUUGUUCUGCUAAACCUGUGACAGCUCAUAUCUCAUGGUUGCAUAAUGGAAAAAGAUUGGAUAGAAACGUGGAACAGAUUAAGAUUCAUCAGGGGACUUUGACAAUUCUUUCUCUUGAGCCCUCCCAUAUGGGCCGCUACCAGUGCAUUGCCAACAAUAGCGUCGGUGCAAUUUUGAGUGGCCCGGCAACAGUAGCCAUCGCAGUUCUCGGUGAUUUUGGUUCAUCAACAAAGCAUGUUAUUACAGCAGAAGAAAAAAAUACUGGUUUCAUUGGCUGCGUGGUACCAGAUAGUAAUCCCAAAGCUGAGGUGCGCUAUAAAAUCCGGGGGAAGUGGCUGAAACAUUCCACAGAGAAUUACUUAAUCCUUCCAUCAGGAAAUCUUCAGAUUUUGAAUGUAUCUUUAGAGGACAAAGGAUCAUAUAAAUGUGCAGCUUUUAAUCCUGUCACACAUGAAUUAAAAGUUGAACCCAUUGGCCGAAAGCUCCUUGUGAGUCGCCCUUCUUCAGAUGAUUUUCACAUUCUUCACCCCACCCUUUCACAGGCAUUAGCGGUUCCCUCUCAUAGCCCUGUAACACUGGAGUGCGUAGUGAGCGGGGUCCCAGCUCCUCAAGUGCGCUGGCUGAAGGACGGUCGGGACCCUGGGCUGGGAAGCAAUUGGAGAAGGUUGCAUUCUCAUCUUGCCACAGAUAGCAUUGAACCAGUGGACUCUGGAAACUACUCCUGCACAGUGGGAAACAAGACUGGAGACAUGAAACACGUGACUUACAUGGUUCGCGUACUUGAACCUGCUUCAAUUUCUGAAGGACUGCAGAAUCAGACAGUGCCCCUGGGUGCCACAGUACAGUUUACUUGUGAAGUCUAUGGGAACCCAGCCCCUAACCGCACCUGGUUUCAUAAUGCAAAGCCUAUUCAUCCUUCACCGCGACAUCAAACUGCAGGGAAUGGAUUGAAAAUCAGUGGUGUUACCAUGGAAGAUUCUGGGCUAUAUCAGUGUGCAGCAGAUAAUGGGAUUGGAUUUACGCAAUCUACUGGGAGACUUGAAAUUGAAAAAGACAGCGGACUCAAGCCGGUUAUAUUUACAGUGCCAGCGAAUGUGAAGGUGGUAGAUGGAGACUUUGUGACUUUGUCCUGCAAUGCCACUGGAGUACCAGUUCCAGUCAUUCGUUGGUAUGACCGGCAUGGGUUGAUAACCAGCCAUCCGUCUCAAGUCCUUAGAUCUAAAUCCCGAAAAUCACACCUUUUAAGACCCGGGGGUUCUGACCUGGAGCCUGUGUACUUCAUCAUGUCCAGAGCUGGCGCAAGCUCUCUCUAUAUUCAGACUGUUACUCAAGAACAUGCUGGGAAGUACACCUGCGAAGCUACAAAUGAACAUGGCACCACACAGUCAGAAGCAAUCCUCACAGUUGUUCCUUUUGAAGCAAAUACAAAAGCAGAAACAGUCACACCUUCCAGUCCCACUCAGAAUGAUGAAAGAGGCAGUUCAGAAAUUGCGUCAUCGAGCUCAUCUCCCGUGAAGGAGCAUCCCAGGGCAGUGGGAUCAUCAUUAGAGAAAAACGCCAGCGGUGCCUCUGUCCCUGAUGCCCCCAUCAUUCUGAGCCCUCCGCAGACCCACACACCGGAUACAUACAGCCUGGUCUGGCGGGCGGGGAAGGACGGCGGGCUGCCCAUCAAUGCCUAUUUUGUAAAGUAUCGGAAGCAGCUAGAUGAUGGUGUUGGUGUGGUAGGAAGUUGGCACACAGUUCGCGUCCCGGGAAGUGAAAAUGAGCUCCACUUGACAGAACUGGAGCCGUCUAGUCUCUAUGAAGUUUUGAUGGUAGCAAGAAGCGCAGCGGGUGAAGGACAACCUGCCAUGCUUACCUUUCGAACUAGCAAAGAGAAAACAACAUCCUCAAAAAACACCCAGGUAUCCUCUCCGCCCAUGGGCAUUCCUAAGCGCCCUGUUGUUUCAGAGGCUGCAGACAGCUUUGGAGUGGUGCUUACAGAUUCCUCUAGGCAUAGUGGAGGUGCUUGGGGUUCACAAGAGGAAUAUCGAAAUCACCCAUGUGAUACAGUUCCAGAGGCACCCGACCGGCCUACUGUCUCCACCGCAUCGGAGACGUCCGUCUAUGUCACCUGGAUUCCUCGGGCAAAUGGGGGCUCUCCCAUCACCGCCUUCAAGGUCGAGUACAAGCGGAUGAGGACUAGUGAUUGGCUGGUGGCAGCUGAGGAUAUCCCGCCUUCCAAACUGUCUGUGGAAGUUCGUAGUUUACAGCCAGGUUCAACAUACAAAUUUAGGGUCAUUGCUAUCAACCAUUAUGGUGAGAGCUUUCGGAGUUCGGCAUCUCGGCCUUAUCAGGUGGCUGGGUUCCCCAGUCGCUUUUCUAACCGUCCAAUAGCUGGACCCCACAUUGCAUAUACAGAAGCUGUCAGUGACACUCAGAUCAUGCUGAAGUGGACGUACAUUCCAUCAAGUAACAAUAACACUCCUAUUCAAGGAUUUUAUAUCUAUUACCGGCCAACGGAUAGUGACAAUGACAGUGAUUACAAGAGGGAUAUUGUAGAAGGAUCAAAGCAGUGGCACAUGAUUGGCCAUCUGCAGCCAGAAACUUCUUAUGAUAUUAAAAUGCAAUGCUUCAAUGAAGGAGGAGAAAGCGAGUUUAGUAAUGUGAUGAUCUGUGAAACUAAAGUGAAACGUGUUCCAGGAGCUUCUGAGUACCCUGUGAAGGACUUCAGCACCCCUCCAAAUUCUUCAGGGGGCGGAGGAAAUGUAGGGCCUGCUAGCAGCCCUGCCCGAAGCAGUGACAUGCUGUACCUGAUCGUCGGCUGCGUGCUCGGUGUGAUGGUCCUCAUCCUCAUGGCCUUCAUUGUGAUGUGCCUGUGGAAGAACCGCCAGCAGAAUACCAUACAGAAAUAUGAUCCACCGGGAUAUCUCUACCAAGGGUCGGAUGUUAACGGGCAGAUGAUGGAGUACACCGCUCUGCCUGGUACAAACCGGGUCGAUGGAGGCUUCACAAGCAGCGGCGCUCUCAGCAACGGCUGCUCCCACGCCCACCACAAGGUCCCUCACGGAGUCAACGGCAUGGUGAACGGGAGCUUGAAUGGAGGGCUUUACUCUGGGCACACAAGUUCUCUAACCAGGACACAUGUGAAUUUUGAACAUCCUUGUCAUCUAGUGAAUGGUGGCGGAAUGUACACGGCUGUGCCUCAGACUGACCCGUUGGAGUGCGUCAACUGUCGAAAUUGUCGGAACAACAAUAGGGCAAGUCUUUGCUGGCCUGUGUUGCUGCCCAGGUUAGUCAAAUGUCUCACCUUGCUCCCAGGAGCCAUUAUGUGAUUUCUGAAACUAGUUAUUGGCUGGGUGAAUAUCAGUAAGUACCUACCUUCAACUCUGGGAAAUUGGAAUCAUUAAAUUUAAAGCUAAUUCUUUUAACUUUGAAAUUGAAAACAAGUAUCUCCUUUCAUGAUCCCCCAAAUUAGCCAAAUUUGUAAUAAGCUUUGAAUGCCCAGAGGUAGAUGAUAUAUGAUUUACUCCCAAAAUAUGCAAAAUUUUAGUCAAUUUGCACUUUCAAAAUGUCUUCAAAGAGAUGAGGAAAUAGAUGUGAAAAAAUGAGAAUGAAAGGAAAAAAAGGGUUCAUUUAUUCAUUCAAUAAAUACUUGUUGAAGAUCUGUAUUGGGCCAGGCAUCAAGAUAGUCCCUGGGGAUAUAGCCGCGAGCAAAGCAGGCACAUCCCUGUCUUCACUGAACUUAUAGUCUAUAUAUGGGGAGACAUAACUCUUUUUAAAUGACACAAAUCAUAAAAAUGAAUAUAUAAUUAAAACUGGAUGCUUUAAGAGAAAAGUAAGAGUGUAUUAGAAAGAAGGAUCUCCCUAAGCAAGUGACAUUUUGCUCUGGAGCUCUGAAGAAUUUGUAAAACUAGGUAAAAGAGAAGGGGACAGAUUUACAACUUUCCAGGCAAAGAUAAGGUGCCAUUUAUGCAAAAUCUUCACAGCAGAAUGUCAGAGACCUCACAGGACUUAAAGAGGGCUCAUGUAGCAGGAACCUAGUAAGUAAAGGGGUCAGAGGUAAAAGAAGAGGGAAAUCAGAUUGUACAGAGCUAUGGCGAGUCGGUGAAAGAUUUUGAGUAGGACAACGUUGUGACAGAGCAUUCUGAAUAGAGUUUGGAGAAUGAAUUGGAUGGGGCAGAAGAGGGUACAGGGACAGUUGGAUGGCUUGUGCAGUGGUCCAUGUGAGAAACAGUGCUCUAGGGCAGGUGCAGCAGACAUGGAGAGAAAGAAGCAGAUGGGCUUGGUGCAAUUUUUAAGAAAGAAGACAUAGCUAAUCGUUUGAGGAGGUAGGCAGAGAGAGAGGUGUCAAGGCUGGAGUGGAGAUAACAGGGUACAAUUUGCUCAGCUUGGUAACUCUGCAGGAGAUGAAGAGAUACCGUGUACCCUUCUGCAUACCUCUGGGAGUCUUCCUUUUUAGACCCCUGUGGGCUGACCCUAGACCCCUUUCAUCAUCCCUCUAUUUUAGUAAUAACUACCUAGAUAGAAAACUUUGCCUAUAUUGCCUAAACUGGAGUACUGAUGUAAAAAUGUGAGCACAGUAAGAGGGGAAUGUGCUCCGUAACAAUCUAGGGAGUAUUAUUUGAUUUUAGGGCUUUUGUGGCACGUUGUAAAUAACUGCCUGCCUCACUAUGUUCAGUUCCUUUGAACCCUCUUCAGGUUUUAAGAGUAAUAUAUAAGAGGUCACUAUAAACAGCUGAAAAGAAGCAGAUUUAAUACAGCUUUGCAAGGAGCCAGUCCCCUACACUAAAGACUUUGCUAAGAAAUCCUUGUACAAUUUGCCGUUUCAAGAGGUAAGCAGAUUUGAGUCAAAUAAAUAAAAAGUUUUUUACCCUUCUCCUCCUCUUCUCUCAAUUCCAAAGGCAGUGGUGCAGUUCUGGAUUUGUAAUCAAAUGGGGUCUGUCAGUUGCUUGGCUAGUUUAAUGGGAAGGGUUCGACAUUAAAUCUGGCCCUUUCACCAUCAGUCCUGGUACUUUGUUGAAGCGUAGAGAGGACGCUGAUGGAGUUCACAGAUGAGCAAAUGGAGAGGUCUCAUCAGGAAGGAAAAAGAGAUUAAUUUUAAGGGUCCUAGAGAGAUUGGAAAUGGGCAGAAGUAGCCAAGUAAAAAUAAGCUUGGAAGAAAUGUGUAUAAUCCAUCUGGAACAAAAAGUACAAGCUAUAUACAUGGCUAAUAGUCAAGAGGAUAAAUGGAACUAUUAGGGGUAGUGACCUAAGAUUUGGUCUCUCUUCCGUGUAUGGUAAUCUGCCUAAUUCCCUAAGAAUUCAAAGCACUGUGUCUAAUUUUUUAGAUUGACCAGUACCUUCCUUUCGGGGACAUUCUGUGUCUCCUGCUUCUAAUCUGGAGACUGAGGGCCUGUUGUCAGAAAUCAGGUGGUUAAGGGUAGUGCUUUUGGUCUUUCCUUUGUGGGAGUGUGUGUGUGAGAGCUUGCCACGUUCAGUAAUGUUCUCAGUCAUUUAUUGUCACCCAGUGUUUAUUGUUGUGUAUUUUGUGACAGUCGCCAGUUCCCAGAAGGAAACCCCAACUAAGGCUGGGGAGCCAGUGUAGCAUGCAUCAAGUGUACAAUGACAACAGAGGACAACCACAGCCCUGGAGGGAUGUCUCAGGGUCCCGUUGCAUAGUAACUGAUGAUCUCCCCAAAAGUAAGGGCCAGGUCAGCAAAUGAUAGACGGUGGCAAGAGGGACAGCAGAGGCAAGCUGAAUAUAAAAAAGAAAAACAAAAACACCAAAACAUGACUGUUUCAGAAGUCUCAAGAACAUAUUCAUGAACAUAAGUAUCACACAUCCGAGUGAUACGCGGAUAGGUAGGUUGUCCUUGCCCUCCAGGGAUAAUCAAAAGAGGACACUUAAUGCAAAACUUACGUAACUAUCUAAUCAGACUAAUACAUACUUGUGCUUAACAAAUAUCCAGCCAUGUAACCAGAAAUGGAAUACUUCUCUAGAAAAUAUUUAGAGUUUCAUAAAGUUUCACUGGAAUGUCCAAAAUAUGUUUAGUCAAAUACUAAAGCAACAUAUUCUUCCAAGCACAAUCCUCCUACUCCUAUCUCUCAUUUCCUAGUCAGUGCUGUUCAGAUUGUUGGUUAAAGAAUAUUGUAUUAUUUUUAUGACACUGUAAUAGUCAUUUUUCUGUCUCACAAGUUUGUUAGGCAGGCCUCUUUUUACUAAAAGAUAUGUUAAUAGAUGAACAGAUCCCAGGCCAUGUGAAUUUUAGCCAAACAGCACAGGCUUUUUUAUGUGGUAAGAUGUACAGAGUUCCAUUUACCCAAUGUUCUUAAACUUAAAGAAAAGUAGUUUCAUUGAGCCAAAGACAAUACAGUACAGUGAAAACUCAUAUUCCACCUUCAGCCAAUAACAACUGCAACUAAAAGAUUAUUUGAGAAGGCAAAGAGAGUGAAGUCGUAAACUCUGUAUUAUAUAAACUGUAAAAUAUGCAUUGUAAGAGCAUCUUAAUAAAUGUCAUGUAUUUGCAAACAAAGAUACAUGUUUUGUUUUUUUCACUACCUGUAGAUUUAGGUCUCUGAAGUUUGCAUGUAUACAGACACCACUUUUGAGAUUAUCUGAUGACCUAUGGAAUUUUGAAACAUUAUCAGUAUAAUUGUUUUCUAUAAAAUUGUUUUCUAAUUAUAUUCAGAACAGGUACUCUAUUCCUUUUUUAUAGACUAUGUCUUCUGUGCUUGUAUCUUAGCAUGUAACUCCUAAGUUCAAGCCAUUUUUAUGUCAAUACAUGUAGACAUCUGGAAUCAAACUGAAAGUAAGGCUUUAUUUACAUUUGAUUAUCUAUGUGGUUAAUUACCAAAAAUUAUGGGUUAGGAUUUGGUUUACUAGAAAAUUUUAAACCAUGUGUUGAAAUUUGGGUUGUAACCACUUUAACAAAGUGUGGGCUUACUGUCAGCACUACUCUGUUAAUUGAAAGUCACGAUUCAGAAUGAAAAUAGAUACUUCUUGAUCUCUUACUUCACUUACCUGAAAAAGUAGAUACCAAAGAAUAGGUGAUGGGAAAUUAUAUUUCUCUCUUGCUAAAUAUAUGUUUGAAGAUGUGUGUAUGUAAUCUGCUUGUUUACCCCUAGCACAUAAAACCAGGUGAUGGUAUCUGCACACUCAUCAUCCAUUGCAGUUGUGACCUUUGUUGUGACCGUCCCUGCAGCCCUGCUCCAUUCAUGUAAUUCACCUUCACGGUUACCCUCACAAGGUGCUUUACACUCAAACUGUUAGACUGCCUUUAGACUCCAUUUGAAAAUCUCAGUCUUUGCUGUCAAUGAAAGAAAUGAGCAGAAAAAAAGAAACUAAAAGGAAAGAACAGAAGAAUUUAAGACAUCUUAUCUGGUAAGUCUCCAUUAUUUGAUGUCAACAUUAAGACAUUUCAUUCACGGAAGAGCUAUGUAAACAAAUCACUAAUCUAUAAUAUUUUGUUUUUAAGGAGCUGCCCUGGUUUUUUCAAAUUCUGGCAAGUAUUUUCUUUUUCCCUACAGUUAACUUUACGUUUUUUAAAUGAAAACUUUUCUUUCUGGCCUGAUGCUUUUUUGUCUUGUAGGUAUCUGGUGCCUUUGCCUUCCUCCAAGAUUCUCACAGAGAACUGGAACAUCAAGUCAGAAGCUCACUUAGUUUGUUUUAUGACAUUACCAUUGGGGAUUUUGUUUAGUGCCUGACUGUGCUGUGUGUCACACUGUUUUAAGAACUUUGUCACUGAGGACAGUCAUUGCCUAUCCUCCAAGACAUUGAAGUUUUUAAGUCAGACAAUUUGAAACCACCAGACGUAAGAAAAACCAAACAACAGAGCCAAUAUUGAACAAGGACAGAGAUAACUGCUAUUAUGAUACACAAAUCUUAAGGGGGUCUGAACUCUAAUUUCUGUCUUCCCAGCCCUGUGAAACCGCCAGAAGUUCUGCUCAGCUUCUGAGCUGCCGCUUCCUGCUCGGUGGGUGUCCCAGUGUGCCGUCCUGCACCGAAUGGGGCAGCUGCCCCAGGCGGAGAAGUACUGGGUGGAGCUCAGGCCCAGCUCUUUCUUCAUGCUUGGCAUUUGGCGUUUCCAACAACUUGAAUCAACAGACAUGCUAGUAACUGUUGCAUGGACUUCCUUCUCUGAUUUUUCAUACGUCCCAGAAACACACCAUCCCAUGUUACAAGGAUGGAAAUCCAAAGAAUUCUUACCUUUAUUUCUUAACAUUGCCUAGUUUCAGUGUACUACUGGUCAGUCCUAUGUGUUUCCUACCUAACCUGCCUUAUCCAGACUUUUCUUACUCCAAUUUUAGAAAUAAAAAAUAUAUUUCUGAGA